AUGCUGGUGAUACUCCAUAAGCCAAUGAUCUUUCAAGAAAAGGUUAUUCUUUGCAUUGCCAAUAUGAAUCUGGGCAGCAGCUUUGAAGAUUGGAAGUUCAGUAUUAUUAUGGGAAAUUUCCAAACCAUGCCAACCCCAGUUUUCAGUGAUGCCCUGCAUCCAGAGCCAGUGAGUCGUCAGCGCCAACCUGGUGGCCUUAAGGUCAGGAACACCAAGAACACUGGCACUUUUUGGCUGGCAGACCCGAGACCAAUUGACAGGGCAGUCCCUGCCCGAGAUGAAUUUUUUUUUGAAAAGGAGAAAGACCCGUCCUCUGCAUUGAUUGAUGCACAUAGCCUCAUUUAUUGCGAAGCUCUCAAUCCAACACAAAAAGUGAUAAAUAAGUUUGAUAAUGGGCUACAACAACAGCAAGAGAUAUUAAAUGUAGUACUUGUGCAUCACUAUUCCUAUUUCUAG
rnacentral:rRNA from 1 species